UACGAAGGGGGCUAGCGUUGUUCGGAAUUACUGGGCGUAAAGCGCACGUAGGCGGAUACUUAAGUCAGGGGUGAAAUCCCGGAGCUCAACUCCGGAACUGCCUUUGAUACUGGCAAGCUAGAGUCCGGAAGAGGUAAGUGGAACUCCUAGUGUAGAGGUGGAAUUCGUAGAUAUUAGGAAGAACACCAGUGGCGAAGGCGGCUUACUGGUCCGGAACUGACGCUGAGGUGCGAAAGCGUGGGGAGCAAACAGG
rnacentral:rRNA from 1 species